AACGUAGGGGACGAGCGUUGUCCGGAAUUACUGGGCGUAAAGAGCUCGUAGGUGGUUUGUCACGUCGUCUGUGAAAUUCCGGGGCUUAACCUCGGGCGUGCAGGCGAUACGGGCAAUACUUGAGUGCUGUAGGGGAGACUGGAAUUCUUGGUGUAGCGGUGGAAUGCGCAGAUAUCUGGAGGAACACCAGUGGCGAAGGCGGCCUCCUGGACCAUUCCUGACACUCAGACGCGAAAGCUAGGGUAGCAAACGGGAUUAGAUACCCGGGUAGUCCCUGA
rnacentral:rRNA from 1 species